CGGCGGACGGGUGAGUAACGCGUGGGUAACCUGCCUCAUACAGGGGGAUAACAGUUGGAAACGGCUGCUAAUACCGCAUAAGCGCACAGUACCGCAUGGUACGGUGUGAAAAACUCCGGUGGUAUGAGAUGGACCCGCGUCUGAUUAGGUAGUUGGUGGGGUAACGGCCUACCAAGCCGACGAUCGGUAGCCGGACUGAGAGGUUGAACGGCCACAUUGGGACUGAGACACGGCCCAG
rnacentral:rRNA from 1 species